UGAAGAGAGAAGGGAAGGGGAGAGGGAGAGAGAGGUUCGAUCGGGUCAGACAGGAAGGGAGCCGCGGCCAGUAGAAGAAAAAAAGGGGUGUGGCGGUGCAGACAGGCAGUCGAGGAAGCCCUAUUACGUGUGUGUGGCCAUGUGCCCGCCGCCGCUGGUGAGCUGGAGCCAAGAGAUCGUAGCGGGUGGUCAAAACCCGAACCUUAUCUCGGGUCACGGGAAUCCGAUCUACACUUAUGAGGCAGUUUCCUUUCAUUCCUUUACAGAUGUGUGAAUUAUUUGAUUUUAAUACUCAGUUUGGUGCGUGCAUGAUUCUAAUUUCUGUCUUUAAAUUUCGAAUGCGUCGGUUGAAUUUGGUAUGUUCAUUUGUCUGCAAUUUCUUUGUGCUUGUUGAUUAGUUGUUAAGGAUGGAACGGAGAGAUUGAGGCAAUGAUAUGUAGGAAGAAAUGCAUAAACCCGCUAAAUGGAUUUAAAAAUGUAUGAACAUAUAUCUGCCUAUAUGUGUAUAUGUAAUCUGAAUGUGAGUAUGUAUGUGUAGUGCAUAUAUAUUACUGGGUAUGAGGAAACAUGAUUGUAAGUGUUUAUAUUUGAUUAUAUAAUUAUAUAUAAGUUGAAGAUGCAUUCUAGGUGAAAUCUGUAAAAGAACAUAAUGUAUAUGUGCAUGUGGGUAUAAAAACAGAAGAAGAUAAAUGUAACUGCGAAAAUGUGUGGAUAAACAGAUCAGUAGGUAUAUAUGUACACGAUAAUGUGUAUGAGUUUCUAAGGAUUAGGCAUGUUGAGUUUUAGUUUAAACAGAAGAUAGACUUUAGGAAUUAGGAUUCUUGAGAAUGGUUUGCAUGAAGAUGAAAACGAGAAAGACUUGAUUAAGGUUCUGGAGAGAUGCAGUUAGCUAACUGGAACCAAUUUUCUGUUUUGACUAAAACUCCAGAUGUUUUGUUCUGUCAUAAACUCCCUUGGAAAAUACUUGGUCUUCGAUUUGGUUCUUUCAGAAGCUCAGAUUUCCUUGUAAUCAGAUAUAUCCAACUUGCAUGUAUCGCUGCCACUGAGUCCUGCUUUUCAACAUUGAUAAGACGCAAAUAUGGAAGAUCCAGCUUUUUCGAGGAGUCUGUCUUGUGGUUUUGUUCUGGCUCAGUUAAUUUCCAGGAAAUUUUUGCAUUUAUACUUUUAGUUUUAAGCAGAAGACUGUUAAUAUGCAUUGGGAUUCUAGAAAAAGUGUUACUUAAAUACAGUUUGACUGUUUCUUGUGUUUAUAGUUUUUGUUUAAAACGAAAGUUGGCUCCUUAAAUCAAGAAUCUCGAAAAAAUUUAACUCGCUGGAAAAAGCAAGAACAACUUGAUCAAGGCUUUGAAGAAAUCCAUAUAACUAAUAUGAGCUAGUUUUCCUUUGAAACUAAGACUUAAGAUGUGAGAAUUCUUGGAAACUCAAGAGUGGAAUUUUUUGAGUUUCUCCACAUCUCAUGAAAAGUAUUUCGUUCUCCUUCAUACAAUUCCCUGUAAAUAUUGUCUGAUUUGGUCGUUUUUAGAAACUCAAAUUUUUUGAUAGCCAGAUACAACUCACAGUUGAAGUGAUAUUCGAUCUUUUUAGAUAUCGAUAAGAUGCAUAUAUGUGAAGGUUGAGUUCUUUGAGGAGUUGUCUUGUGCGUUCUGUUUUGGCUCAAUUCAUUUCAAAGAAAACAUGUGUCUUUGAACUUUUGUUUGAACUAAUGACUGUCUCCUUGCAUUGAGUUUCUUGAAAAAGUUUUACUUAAUGAUAAAAACCAUAAGGAGUUGUACGUUCAUGUUUAGCUCAAUCUUUUUCCAAGAACUACUGUUGCAUUUUGAGUUUUAGUUUAAAAUGGAUUCUUAAUCCUUGAAUCUGGAUUUUCGAGAAAGUUUUACUUGAUGAUAAGAUGCAUAUAUGAAAGGUCGAGUUCUUUCAAGGAGUCAACCUUGUGGGUUAUGUUUUGGCUUAAUUUCUUUUCAAGAAAUGUUGUGUCUUGAGUUUUUGUUUAAGCCAUAGACUUUAUUUUUCCAUCGGGUUUCUUGAGGAAAUUUGAUUUAACGAUAAAAACUAGAANNNNN
rnacentral:lncRNA from 1 species